rnacentral:rRNA from 1 species
CACGUAGGGGGCAAGCGUUGUCCGGAUUUAUUGGGCGUAAAGGGUGUGUAGGUGGCGCCGUAAGUCGGGUGUGAAAUCUCGGGGCUUAACUCCGAAACUGCAUUCGAUACUGCGGUGCUUGAGGACUGGAGAGGAGACUGGAAUUCAUGGUGUAGCAGUGAAAUGCGUAGAGAUCAUGAGGAAGACCAGUGGCGAAGGCGGGUCUCUGGACAGUUCCUGACACUGAGACACGAAGGCCAGGGGAGCAAACGGG